AUACCAUGUUGAGGGCACUUUCAUAAUAAUUUCUUAAAUCGAUCCCAAGCCUCAAAAAGAAAUUCUUUGUCAAGUUGUUGAAUAUAGUGAUUUAAUUUCUUAGCUU
rfam:Gossypium arboreum cultivar AKA8401 contig_7557_5, whole genome shotgun sequence.